CGCAGCUAACGCAUUAAGCGCCCCGCCUGGGGAGUACGAUCGCAAGAUUAAAACUCAAAGGAAUGGACGGGGCCCCGCACAAGCACCGGAGCAUGCGGCUUAAUUCGACGCAACGCGAAGAACCUUACCAAGGCUGGAAAUAUACAGGAAUAUGGCAGAGAUGUCAAAGCGGUAAAACGUCGGUAUACAGGUGGUGCAUGGUUGUCGUCAGCUCGUGUCGUGAGAUGUUGGGUUAAGUCCCGCAACGAGCGCAACCUUCGUUCUGUGUUGCCAGCAUUUAGUUGGGGACUCACAGGAGACUGCCGGGGUUAACUCGGAGGAAGGUGGGGAUGACGUCAAAUCAUCAUGCCCCUUAUGUCUUGGGCUGCACGCAUGCUACAAUGGCUGGUACAAAGGGCUGCAAUACUGCAAAGUGGAGCGAAUCCCAAAAAGCCAGUCUCAGUUCGGAUUGGGGUCUGCAACUCGACCCCAUGAAGUCGGAGUUGCUAGUAAUCGUAGAUCAGCAACGCUACGGUGAAUACGUUCCCGGGGCUUGUACACACCGCCCGUCACAUCACGAAAGUCGGUAACACCCAAAGUCAGUGGCCCAACC
rnacentral:rRNA from 1 species